rnacentral:rRNA from 1 species
GCAAAAGGCCCGACUUUUCGGAAGGGCUGCACUUAUUAGAUGCAAAUCAACACGGCGGGUCCCCCCGUCGGUUAUGUUGGUGAUUCUGGAUAAUUAAGCGAAUCGCACGGUCUUGUACUGGCGAUGGAUCGAUCAAGUUUCUGCCCUAUCAACUUUGGAUGGUAGUGUAUUGGACUACCAUGGUUAUUACGGGUGACGGAGAAUUAGGGUUCGGUUCCGGAGAGGGAGCCUGAGAGACGGCUACCACUUCCAAGGAAGGCAGCAGGCGCGCAAAUUACCCAAUCCCAAUACGGGGAGGUAGUGACAAUAAAUAACAAUGCAGGCUCUCUACGAGGGCUUGUAAUUGGAAUGAGUACAGCGUAAAUAACUUAACGAGGAACAAUUGGAGGACAAGUCUGGUGCCAGCACCCGCGGUAAUUCCAGCUCCAAUAGCGUAUAUUAAAGUUGUUGCAGUUAAAAAGCUCGUAGUUGGAUCUUGAAGUUCUUUCUUGUACCGUCUCUGCCGGAAGGUAGAGGCGUAUAGGAAUCCUUCUAACUCUCGGAGGUGGCCUUCUGCUCUUAACUGGGUGGUUGGUUGCGCCGAGACGUUUACCUUGAAAAAAUUAGAGUGUUCAAAGCAGGCUACUAGCUAGCCCUGAAUAGAUUAGCAUGGGAUAAUGGAAUACGACGUUGUUCGGUUUCGUUGGUUUACGGACGGCGUAAUGAUCAAUAGGACUGAUCGGGGUUAUUCAUAUUUAAUUGUCAGAGGUGAAAUUCUUAGAUUCUUUAAAGAUGAACGAGGGCGAAAGCAUCUAACAAGGGUGCUUCCAUUGAUCAAGAACGAAAGUUAAGGGAUCGAAGACGAUCAGAUACCGUCGUAGUCUUAAC